rnacentral:rRNA from 1 species
UACGGAGGAUGCGAGCGUUAUCCGGAUUUAUUGGGUUUAAAGGGUGCGUAGGCGGCUUUUUAAGUCAGCGGUGAAAUUUUGCAGCUUAACUGUAACAGUGCCGUUGAUACUGGGGAGCUAGGAUUUGGUUGCUGUGGGUGGAAUGUGUGGUGUAGCGGUGAAAUGCUUAGAGAUCACACAGAAUAUCGAUUGCGAAGGCAGCUCACAAAGCCAAGAUUGACGCUGAGGCACGAGAGUGUGGGGAUCAAACAGGAUUA